rnacentral:rRNA from 1 species
ACCGGAUAGGACGAAAGUUUAAAGGUGCUUCUGGCAUCGCUGAUGGAUGAGCCUGCGGCGCAUUAGCUAGUUGGUAGGGUAAAGGCUUACCAAGGCGACGAUGCGUAGCCGACCUGAGAGGGUGAACGGCCACACUGGGACUGAGACACGGCCCAGACUCCUACGGGAGGCAGCAGUAGGGAAUCUUCGGCAAUGGACGGAAGUCUGACCGAGCAACGCCGCGUGAGUGAAGAAGGUUUUCGGAUCGUAAAACUCUGUUGUUAGAGAAGAACAAGGAUGAGAGUAGAAUGUUCAUCCCUUGACGGUAUCUAACCAGAAAGCCACGGCUAACUACGUGCCAGCAGCCGCGGUAAUACGUAGGUGGCAAGCGUUGUCCGGAUUUAUUGGGCGUAAAGCGAGCGCAGGCGGUUUCUUAAGUCUGAUGUGAAAGCCCCCGGCUUAACCGGGGAGGGUCAUUGGAAACUGGGAGACUUGAGUGCAGAAGAGGAGAGUGGAAUUCCAUGUGUAGCGGUGAAAUGCGUAGAUAUAUGGAGGAACACCAGUGGCGAAGGCGACUCUCUGGUCUGUAACUGACGCUGAGGCUCGAAAGCGUGGGGAGCAAACAGGAUUAGAUACCCUGGUAGUCCACGCUGUAAACGAUGAGUGCUAGGUGUUGGGUAGCGAUACUCAGUGCCGAAGUAAACACAAUAAGCACUCCGCCUGGGGAGUACGUACGCAAGUAUAAAACUCAAAGGAAUUGACGGGGACCCGCACAAGCAGCGGAGCAUGUGGUUUAAUUCGAAGCAACGCGAAGAACCUUACCAAGGCUUGACAUCCCCUUGACCGGUGCAGAGAUGUACCCACUUCUUCGGAAGCAAGGGAGACAGGUGGUGCAUGGUUGUCGUCAGCUCGUGUCGUGAGAUGUUGGGUUAAGUCCCGCAACGAGCGCAACCCUUAUCCUUAGUUGCCAUCAAGUUAAGUUGGGCACUCUAAGGAGACUGCCGGUGAUAAACCGGAGGAAGGUGGGGAUGACGUCAAAUCAUCAUGCCCCUUAUGUCUUGGGCUACACACGUGCUACAAUGGUCGGCACAACGGGGAGCGAAGGAGCGAUCCCAAGCAAAUCCCAAUAAACCGAUCCCAGUUCGGAUUGCAGGCUGCAACUCGCCUGCAUGAAGUCGGAGUUGCUAGUAAUCGCGAAUCAGAACGUCGCGGUGAAUGCGUUCCCGGGUCUUGUACACACCGCCCGUCA